AAAAAACAAUAUAUAAUUUGUAUGGGAACAGUAAAUGAGAAAGCGGAAAAUUACAGCCAAACACAAACACCACAAAAGUGUAAAAAUAUUCCUGGUCGCAAAUGUACAACAUCGCAAAAACAGUCCAGUCCUUAAGGGGUUAAUGGUAGGUGUAUUUUAACAGUGAGACACAGAAUAACAAAAUAUAUAUAUUGUUGCAAUUGCCUCCGGUCUAGCAGGAGGUUGGAUCGCUUGGAUGUCCUGGUUCCCGAAGUCAGAGAGUCGAACAAGAUUCCAUUCAGUAGAAACCUGUAAGUGUUGAAUAUCCCACUAGCUGUAGUAGCGCUAGUAUUCCCGGAUACCUACAACACGAGUCAAGGCUACGAGUUGAGGGUAAAACGAACUGGCUUUAAUGGCACACAAGCAUGGCAAUUUAUGCAAGUCCCCAGGUCCAGGGACAGCCCCCCAUGGACCUGAUGGGAUACAGGUACAGUACAAGUAUUUGACCAAUCACAGUACAAUGUAUUAUUCAAACUAGUACCCACCCAGCUUGGAGAUAAUGAGGCUAACGGUUAUACAAUCUAAUUAUCUCCAAGCGCUCAAAACGACCAUGCUUUAUUACGUUCCAGAAAACCGUAUAAAAAUAUAUAACUUAGUCAUUAUAGAGUGAAUAUAGUCCUUUCCACGUGUCAUUCGGUAGCUCAGCUCUGGAUGCAUUAAGUGUGCGAAUUGCGCCCAGAUCCCGCGAACCGAGCAGGAGGUUUCUGCUAUAUAAAGUCCUGUUCGGCAGCUGGAUUCUAAGCCCUCAAUGGCGGCCAUGUUUUUGGGUCUGUCAAUGGCCAGCGGGACCUCGAUGCAGGUAAAAUAGGGUUUCAAUAAGCAGAAGUAGAGAAUAACAAUGUAACGGGUCUUUGUAACAAUGCUCCCUCUUUGUGGAACACUCUGGCAGACACUGUCUGACCCCUUUUCGGGGUAGACUAAGGCUGUCCAGACUGGAGAGUUAUGCUGGACUGAGGUCAGUUUGCCGUGAUAACCCGUCGGCAUUGCCAUUCUGUUUCCCGGGUCGGUAGGUGAUGAUAAAAUUAAACGGUUGUAGUGAUAAGCUCCAGUGUAAUAGUCGGCCAUUAUUCCCAGCGACCCGGUUGAGCCAUACCAACGGGUUAUGGUCUGUAACCAGAGUAAACUCUUGUCCAUACAAGUAGGGAGUUAACUUCUUUAGUGCCCCCACCAACGCCAAACACUCCUUUUCCACCGCGGCAUAGCGGACUUCUCGUGGCAGGAGCUUUCGGCUGAUGUAGACAAUCGGGUGUUCUUUCCCAUCGUCUCCUACUUGGCUGAGGACAGCUCCCAACCCGAACAUGGAAGCGUCUGUAUGAACAAUAAAACGUUGAUUAGGGGCUGGGGCAGCCAAGACAGGAGCAUUACUUAAAGCAGUAUUUAGUGUUUGAAACGCGGUUUCACAGUGGGGAGACCACAGGACCUGUCGAUGAAGAUUUUUCUUCGUUAAGUCAGUCAGGGGUUUGGCGAUAGCGCUAUAGUCUGGCACGAGCUUUCUGUAGUACCCAGCCAUGCCCAGAAAGGGGUCUUAGUGGUGGGGGUGGGCCAAUGUGUGAUCGCCUCUAACUUAUCUGGCUCUGGUCGCUGUUUCCCACAUCCCACUCGGUGACCCAAGUACUGUACCUCACCCAUCCCAAAAUGGCAUUUCUCUGGCUUCAGAAUCAGGCCCGCAGCCCGAAUCUGAUCCAGGACCAUUCCCACUUGGGCUAAGUGCUCCUCCCUGGACUCACUAUGGAUCGCUAUGUCAUCCAGGUAUGCACAAGCAAAAUCCUGGAAGCCAUCAAGGAGUCUAUCCACCAAGCGCUGGAAUGUGGCGGGGGCAUUCUUCAUCCCGAAUAGCAUAACCUUAAAGUGGUAUAAGCCAAACGGGGUGACGAAUGCCGACUUGGGGAUAGCUUCCCUGGCCAGGGGAAUUUGCCAAUAACCUUUACAGAGGUCAAUGGUAGUUAGU